UACGGGGGGAGCAAGCGUUGUUCGGAUUUACUGGGCGUAAAGGGCGCGUAGGCGGCCACCGCAAGUCGACUGUGAAAUCUCCGGGCUUAACCCGGAAAGGUCAGCCGAUACUGCGGGGCUAGAGUGCAGAAGGGGCAACUGGAAUUCUUGGUGUAGCGGUGAAAUGCGUAGAUAUCAAGAGGAACACCUGCGGCGAAGGCGGGUUGCUGGGCUGACACUGACGCUCAUGCACGAAAGCGUGGGGAGCAAACAGG
rnacentral:rRNA from 1 species